AUUGAACGCUGGCGGCAGGCCUAACACAUGCAAGUCGAGCGGUAACAGGUCUAGCUUGCUAGAUGCUGACGAGCGGCGGACGGGUGAGUAAUGCAUAGGAAUCUGCCCGGUAGUGGGGGAUAACUUGGGGAAACUCAAGCUAAUACCGCAUACGCCCUACGGGGGAAAGCAGGGGAUCUUCGGACCUUGCGCUAUCGGAUGAGCCUAUGUCGGAUUAGCUAGUUGGUGAGGUAAUGGCUCACCAAGGCAACGAUCCGUAGCUGGUCUGAGAGGAUGAUCAGCCACACUGGGACUGAGACACGGCCCAG
rnacentral:rRNA from 1 species